rnacentral:rRNA from 1 species
AGUGAACGCUGGCGGUAGGCCUAACACAUGCAAGUCGGACGGCAGCACAGUAAGAGCUUGCUCUUACGGGUGGCGAGUGGCGGACGGGUGAGGAAUACAUCGGAAUCUACUUUUUCGUGGGGGAUAACGUAGGGAAACUUACGCUAAUACCGCAUACGACCUACGGGUGAAAGCAGGGGAUCUUCGGACCUUGCGCGAUUGAAUGAGCCGAUGUCGGAUUAGCUAGUUGGCGGGGUAAAGGCCCACCAAGGCGACGAUCCGUAGCUGGUCUGAGAGGAUGAUCAGCCACACUGGAACUGAGACACGGUCCAGACUCCUACGGGAGGCAGCAGUGGGGAAUAUUGGACAAUGGGCGCAAGCCUGAUCCAGCCAUACCGCGUGGGUGAAGAAGGCCUUCGGGUGGUAAAGCCCUUUUGUUGGGAAAGAAAAGCAGCAGGUUAAUACCCCGCUGUUCUGACGGUACCCAAAGAAUAAGCACCGGCUAACUUCGUG